rnacentral:rRNA from 1 species
UACGUAGGCAGCAAGCGUUGUUCGGAGUUACUGGGCGUAAAGGGUGUGUAGGCGGUUUUCUAAGUCUGGUGUGAAAUCUCCCGGCUCAACUGGGAGGGUGCGCCGAAAACUGGAGGACUAGAGUGCGGGAUGGGAGAGUGGAAUUCCUGGUGUAGCGGUGAAAUGCGUAGAUAUCAGGAGGAACACCAAUAGCGAAGGCAGCUCGCUGGGACGGUAUUGACGCUAAGGCGCGAAAGCGUGGGGAGCAAACAGG